CUUGCAGUAUCACUUCCUAAUUUCUUUAUACAGGUAAAUGAAAGUGACUUCAAGGCCCUAGUAGUGACAGGUGACUCAUCCGUGGUCUUGAAUCAGCUGCAUGUGGAUGAACAAGGAACAUAUCGCUGCUCUCUGCAAGACCAAAAUGGGGCCAUCUACUAUCAAGCCACGUUCUUACUCACUGUCACCCCCUUGCCUCACCAAACUCGCCGAUCCCCCAUCACGCUGCCCACCCUGCCUCAUGGAGACAACUACUCACCUUUGCAUCCUACAGAGGACCUUCUGGUGCCCAUCAUUGCUGUGGUUACUGCUUUGAGCCUGGCAGCAAGCGUAGGCCUCACAGUUUUCCUAGGUAUAAUGCUGAAUCAGCUGAGAGCAGCGAAGAAGCUGAGGAGGAGGAAGAAUGAGGGGAAAAAAACCCUGAAAACACCAUGUGAUGAGUAGUAAAAAUCACACCUUAUUAUUGACGGUAAAUUACUUCUCACUUCAGGUUGUACAUUUCACUCUAUAGUCAAAUAAAUUUCCCAACCUGCCAGAGUGCCUUGUCA
rnacentral:lncRNA from 1 species